rnacentral:rRNA from 1 species
AUUGAACGCUGGCGGCAGGCCUAACACAUGCAAGUCGAGCGGAGCAGCAGUCGCGGGAGGAAUGCCAAGGUAUCUGACUGUUAGUGGGGGAUAAGGUCAGGUAACGGGCGCUGAUACUGCAUACUAUCGGCAUAGGCUAGGCCGGAUUAGCUAGUUGGUGGGGUAAAGGACCACCAAGGCGACGGUCCGGAACUGGUCUGAGAGGAUGAUCAGCCACACUGGAACUGAGACACGGUCCAGACUCCUACGGGAGGCAGCAGUGGGGAAUAUUGGACAAUGGGCGAAAGCCUGAUCCAGCCAUGCCGCGUGUGUGAAGAAGGUCUUCGGAUUGUAAAGUACUUUAAGUUGGGAGGCGUUACCAACAGAAUAAGCACCGGCUAACUUCGUGCCAGCAGCCGCGGUAAUUC